rnacentral:rRNA from 1 species
AUUGAACGCUGGCGGCAUGCCUUACACAUGCAAGUCGAACGGUAACGCGGGGCAACCUGGCGACGAGUGGCGAACGGGUGAGUAAUGCAUCGGAACGUGCCCAGAAGUGGGGGAUAGCCCGGCGAAAGCCGGAUUAAUACCGCAUGAGACCUGAGGGUGAAAGCGGGGGAUCGCAAGACCUCGCGCUUUUUGAGCGGCCGAUGUCAGAUUAGCUAGUUGGUGGGGUAAAGGCCUACCAAGGCGACGAUCUGUAGCUGGUCUGAGAGGACGACCAGCCACACUGGGACUGAGACACGGCCCAGACUCCUACGGGAGGCAGCAGUGGGGAAUUUUGGACAAUGGGCGCAAGCCUGAUCCAGCCAUGCCGCGUGCGGGAAGAAGGCCUUCGGGUUGUAAACCGCUUUUGUCAGGGAAGAAACGCUCUGGGCUAAUACCCUGGGGUAAUGACGGUACCUGAAGAAUAAGCACCGGCUAACUACGUG